UUUAUUUGCCACCCAAGGUGCCUUUUCUUCUUCCGAAACAGCUAUUCUCGUCUCUCAUUAAACAUCUGUACUUUCCAUACAUCGGCCAUAAUUUUGCCAAUAGUUUGUGUAAAAUACCAAACUGUUUGGAUAUAUUUUCCGAAGAAAAGUGAUCUGGUUCUUUUUAUCCGAAUAUCAGAAGUCGAGAACCAAUCCGAUUGGUGGAUGUUAUUUUCACCCGUUCAGUUUCUUCGCGGUACAGCGACCGUAGCAACCUAGACCGUCAUUUACAUCGAAUAUUGUUUGUCGUUCCGUUAUAUAACCUUUGUGGACAUAAAAAUUCGAUCGAAAUGGGGCUAACGACAGGUCCCGAGGCUAGAAACAAAAAUUAACAGAAACCGAAACGACCAUAGAAUUUUGUCAAGAAAGCUGGACUUUUAUAUCACUUCGGCAGUCGAGUGUGACUUUUUCUAAAAUAAUUACUAAACUGUUAAGUGGAAGAAUUGUAUGGCCACGUGUUUGAAACGGAACCUGGUAUCUCGAGUUGAUUUUAAAAGGAACCGGUCUUCAGAUCCGCGUGCCAAUUGGGCGCUAGAUCCCGCUUUACAGUUUAUAUGGACAUCUGUCGGUUGAAAGACAAAUCAUUCGUUCAAAUUCAAAUUGCGAAUCGUUCAUUCGAAUGAAUGAUUCGUAACCGCUAAGUGUAUGGUACGCGAAUAGCGCGGUUGAUUAAUUAUUGGAGAUAUUUAGCCCAACCUUUUCAUAACAGCGGCACCAUCAUUGGCCGAUGCACCUACCUCGGUGGCUAAAUCCAAAUUAAAAAUUUUUAGCUUCUCGGAAACCAGAACUCGCUAUCGGAGCUAAUCCUAAAUUAAAAUCUUUUUCGAGAUGGCGUACGUUGCUAUUCAAAUAUCCGCCAUUUCUCUGGCUAGUCCAUUCAUCUAGAGUUACGGAAAUUUUUUCCCCAUCGUUCUUCAUACAAUCUAAUUCAUUUAUAGUUUCACGAAACGAAGAAAUGAGAUUGGUUAGUCGAGAGUUGUUUUGUAUUAUAGUAAGGAAUAGCCCGGUUGUGAUAAUGACUCUGGUACGAACGAGCUUGUUGUAAUAAUGGAUAAUCCAUCCAAGGCAGCGAGUCUCCAUACAAUUUCUUCUAAACUACUCCUUUUCAAGAACUUAAAGACGCUGGGUUGUUUUUGUCAACUCGGGCCGGCAUCCGAUGACUUUUUGUCCAUUAUUUUUUCGUGGACUGUUUUUAAACGAUGGCGGAGGCCGCUGGUAGACGAUCCUUGGCCAGUUAACAUUUUAUUACAGUAACGACAAGGCGCCUUAUCUUUUUCAACCUUUUUGAAAUGAUUCCAAACAUCCGAUCAAAAAAUAAAUAAAGGA
rnacentral:lncRNA from 1 species